UUGGGUACCAGUUCACCUUAAGGCACACAUAUUACGAAAUUGCGCAAGCAAUUAUUCACAAUGCCUGAGUAAGUUCUGAGAUGCCGUUAAUUCGAAAGAAUAUGAGACUUCCUCCAGAAAUCUAUUUCGCUCUGACUUAGAGAAGAGGAUUGUAAAAUCUGAUCGUUAGAGUGAAAGUGAGAAGGGGGUUUGGCAUAGCAUAUUAAGUGCAAUAGGUGAUAUCCAAUUCAAUUCAGGCUACUCGGUGCCUAA
rnacentral:RNase_P_RNA from 1 species